AUACGGAGGGGGCAAGCGUUGUUCGGAAUUACUGGGCGUAAAGCGCGCGUAGGCGGUUUGUUUAGUUAGGCGUGAAAGCCCUGGGCUCAACCCAGGAACUGCGCUUGAUACUGGCAGACUAGAGUCCGGGAGAGGAGAGUGGAAUUCCCAGUGUAGAGGUGAAAUUCGUAGAUAUUGGGAAGAACACCAGUGGCGAAGGCGGCUCUCUGGACCGGUACUGACGCUGAUGUGCGAAAGCGUGGGGAGCAAACAGGAUUAGAUACCCCAGUAGUCC
rnacentral:rRNA from 1 species